AAGCGAGACCGCGAGGGGAGCGAAUCCCAAAAUAACGUCCCAGUUCGGAUUGUAGUCUGCAACCCGACUACAUGAAGCUGGAAUCGCUAGUAAUCGCGGAUCAGAAUGCCGCGGUGAAUACGUUCCCGGGUCUUGUACACACCGUCCGUCACACCAUGGGAAUCGGUAACACCCGAAGCCAGUAGCCUAACCGCAAGGAGGGCGCUGUCGAAGGUGGGAUUGAUGACUGGGGUGAAGUCGUAACAAGGUAAC
rnacentral:rRNA from 1 species